rnacentral:rRNA from 1 species
GUGAGGAAUUUUCCGCAAUGGGCGAAAGCCUGACGGAGCAAUGCCGCGUGAAGGAUGAAGGCCUAUGGGUUGUAAACUUCUUUUCUCAGAAAAGAAUUAUGACGGUAUCUGAGGAAUAAGCAUCGGCUAACUCUGUGCCAGCAGCCGCGGUAAGACAGAGGAUGCAAGCGUUAUCCGGAAUGAUUGGGCGUAAAGCGUCUGUAGGUUGUUUAAAAAGUAUUCUGUUAAAGAUUAGGGCUUAACCCUAGAUAGGCAGAAUAAACUUUUAAGCUAGAGUUUGGUAGAGGCAGAGGGAAUUCCCGGUGGAGCGGUGAAAUGCGUAGAUAUCGGGAGGAACACCAAAGGCGAAGGCACUCUGCUGGGCCAAUACUAACACUGAGAGACGAAAGCGAGGGGAGCAAAUGGGAUUAGAAACCCGGGUAGUCC